CCCGUAUCAAGGAUUCAAGGUCUCUCUCUCUCGGUGAUUUUACUCUGGAGCUGCGUUGAAGGAAGUGUAGAAGAAUAAGACCAGGGUCCAGGGCCAGUCGCGAAAAGCUCACCAAGCACCAAGUAGGCAGAUUAUGCGAAGGAGAAAUCCAGUGAACAAUCAGCAAAAAAGGCUGCUUGUAAGGCAAAAAAAUCGAAACUGGCUGAGCAGUCAGGGAUCGUGAUUGCCAAUUGAUGGAAGGCUUUGCUGAAUAGCUGCUGAAUGCUUAGAAGACUGGAGAAAAGAAAAACUGCUGAAUUGCUUCUUCCAAUUUGGACUUUCUAUCUAUUUCAAUUGCAACUUUGUAUUUGAAUUGGGACUUUGUACUUGAAUUGCAGCUUUGUAUUUGAAUUGGGACUUUGUAAGUCUGUAUUUGAAUUGGGACUUUGUAUUUGAAUUGGGACUGUGUGUUGAAUUGGGACUUUGUAUU